rnacentral:lncRNA from 1 species
UGUGUCUGUUUGUUUUGUUCACGCAUUGGUGACAAUAUAAUGGAAUUUGAUGAGACUGUCAUACAAGUGAGAGGUUUAGCUAGCUAUAAAACCAGGUUCAAUCCACCAUUUUCUACAUUAGAAAAUGCCUGUACCAAGUCAGGAAUAUGACAGUUGUUAUCCAUUCGCUUGAUGUGUUUGAACUUUUGAUUUUGCCAUUUGAUUGGGGACUUUCCUUUUUGAAUUUUC